GACGAACGCUGGCGGCGUGCCUAAUACAUGCAAGUCGAACGAGUGGCUGACGGGUGAGUAACACGUGGGAACCUACCCAUCAGAGGGGGAUAACUAAUGGAAACGGUGUCUAAUACCGCAUAAUAUCGGAUGAACCCCUAUGGUGUUAGCUAGUAGGUGGGGUAAAAGCUCACCUAGUCGACGAUCUCUAGCUGGUCUGAGAGUAUGAUCAACCACACUGGGACUGAGACACGGCCCAGACUCCUACGGGAGGCAGCAGUGGGUAAUAUUGCACAAUGGGCGCAAGCCUGAUGCAGCCAUGCCGCGUGUAUGAAGAAGGCCUUAGGGUUUUAAAGUACUUUCAGCGGGGAGGCGUUACCCGCAGAAGAAGCACCGGCUAACUCCGUGCCAGCCGCCGCGGUAAUUC
rnacentral:rRNA from 1 species